rnacentral:tRNA from 1 species
GUAGUAAUUUGAAGGUUAACUGACUUGGUUGCGUCAUCAACCCUUAAAAAA